CAGCCGCCACGGGAAUACGUAGGUGGCAAGCGUUGUCCGGAAUUAUUGGGCGUAAAGGGCUCGCAGGCGGUUUCUUAAGUCUGAUGUGAAAGCCCCCGGCUCAACCGGGGAGGGUCAUUGGAAACUGGGAAACUUGAGUGCAGAAGAGGAGAGUGGAAUUCCACGUGUAGCGGUGAAAUGCGUAGAGAUGUGGAGGAACACCAGUGGCGAAGGCGACUCCCUGGUCUGUAACUGACGCUGAGGAGCGAAAGCGUGGGGAGCGAACAGGAUUAGAGACCCCAGUAGUCCCUGUCUCUUAUAC
rnacentral:rRNA from 1 species